UGCAUCAGUGAUGAGAACUUGGCUCCCUCUUCUGAACUUGCUGAAGAGACUUGCCAUCUUGUUACCCAAUUUCUCGGAGAUGUU